CAGUCGCCGCGGGAAUACGAAGGGUGCAAGCGUUAAUCGGAAUUACUGGGCGUAAAGCGUGUGUAGGCGGUUUGUUAAGUCUGUUGUGAAAUCCCCGGGCUCAACCUGGGAAUGGCAAUGGAUACUGGCAAGCUAGAGUGUGUCAGAGGAUGGUGGAAUUCCCGGUGUAGCGGUGAAAUGCGUAGAGAUCGGGAGGAACAUCAGUGGCGAAGGCGGCCAUCUGGGACAACACUGACGCUGAGGCACGAAAGCGUGGGGAGCAAACAGGAUUAGAUACCCCAGUAGUCCCUGUCUCUUAUAC
rnacentral:rRNA from 1 species